rnacentral:rRNA from 1 species
AGAAUCAACGCUGGCGGCGUGCCUAACACAUGCAAGUCGAACGCGAAAGGGACUUCGGUCCUGAGUAGAGUGGCGAACGGGUGAGUAACGCGUGGGUGACCUACCCUCGAGUGGGGGAUAACGUUCCGAAAGGGACGCUAAUACCGCAUGACAUUCCGGGUUUGAAGACCUGGAAAUCAAAGCCGGGGACCGCAAGGCCUGGCGCUAGAGGAGGGGCCCGCGUCUGAUUAGCUAGUUGGCGGGUAACGCCCACCAAGGCGACGAUCAGUAGCCGGCCUGAGAGGGCGGACGGCCACGACUGGGACUGAGACACGGCCCAGACUCCUACGGGAGGCAGCAGUGGGGAAUUAUCGCAAUGGGCGCAAGCCUGACGACGCAACGCCGCGUGGAGGAUGAAGGUCUUCGGAUUGUAAACUCCUGUUGAUCGGACGAAAAGAUUACAACCUAAUACGUUGGAGACUGACGGUACCGGUUAGAGGAAGCCACGGCUAAACGUCUGUAGCCAGCAGCCGA